UGCUUCCAAUGUUGUACGGUGGUUUUGAGAAAACCAUGGGCUACUAGACUGUUUGUGUUGUUUGCUUCUCUGUCCUUGCUUCACCAUCAUCACCACUCUGACGCUACCCUUUCACCUCACAUCAACCAAAACACUCAUCCCCUUCCCUUCCCUUCCUCCUCUUAUAUCAUACUCCCGAUACAAAACACUGGCGAAAGGAGAGAGAACCACGUUUGAAGAGAUAGAGCGCCGCGAGAGUAGAUAUAGAAAGAGUGGUCCAGCGAUCGACGAUUAGGAAGGUCACAGCGGUGGUUCUGCUUCUGGCGAUGGGGGUGACUUCAAGAAACGAAGACCCGAUUAGGGUUCAAGUGAGAUUCCGGCUACCCUUUUUUACACUGGUUCAAUUGAUUGAUGCCUGGAGUUCUUAAGCUUGCUUCUUCUUGGUAUAGGUUCUUCACUCCGAUUAUAGGUAUGGUUGAUGUUUUUUGGCUGAGAUUAGGUGUGUUUACAACGUUUACCAAAAAGAAUUCAUGUUUUUCUCUAUUUAACCAUUACUGAGUUCCAGUUGCAGAAAGUUUAAUGUUAUUAUACACACAUGAUACAGUGAAGGGUGUGCAAUGUGAUGCAUCUUUGGCUGGAAAUAUCUAUCUUUCCUAGAGUUGGGUAGAUGAUGAUUGUGGAAGCUAGGCGCACCACUUCAUAUCAAUUUGUUUCUUUGAGCUUGCAGAUUUAAUGAAAAAAAGACAAUAAUUGUGUUUGUGAUCCCACGAAGGGUUCAGUGGUCAAAGACGUCCUUAACCGCUCACAAGGCCUUGAUUCGGACUCCAAGAGAACAUAUGAAGCUGCAAUAAUGAAGGUUCAGCAUGGUUGAGAAGCAAUAAGGAGAUAUUAAGGUUUAGGAUGGUUGAGAAAAAUGAUAAGAGUUGUUGGAGCAAAGAAUUUGUACGCAAAUCCUUCACCUUCUAACGAAGAGUUUCAGCUUGGUUCAAGUGGAUUAAAUUUAUGCAAUGUGAUUAAGAAAGUUGUAGAAAGUUCAUAUGAUCUUGCUGCUUCACAGGAUAGAGCUGCUUUAUUUGCAUAUCAGUAUUUUGAGAAUGCGAAGAACUUUUUAGUAGCUGUUCAGCAAAUGGGGCUCCAUACCUUUGAAGCGUCAGAUUUAGAACAAGGAGGAAAAACAUCAAGAAUUGUGUAUUGUGUGUUGACACUCAAACCAUACAGUUAGUGGAAACAAACAAGUGGCCAUGGAAUUUGGAGAUUUGGGGGAGUAGUGAAACUGAGCACGCCUAGCAAAGCAUUGUUCGCAGAAACUCAGGUCCCUUCUCAAAUUCUUUGUCAAGGAUGAAUGUUCAAUUUUUACCAAACUUUUGUAAUUGUUUGGUGCAAGAUACUUUACAAUUGAGUUGUUGCUAUCUUCUUGAAACCAAUACAAUUUUGUUUUUAUUUUUUUUUUUUU